rnacentral:tRNA from 1 species
UGUGCGUGUGGCCCAGUGGUAGAGUGCUUGUGUAGUAUUUGUGAGGCCCUGGGUUCACUGCCCAGCACCACAA